CAUUUUUAAAUAUCCAUUAACAUUUUUAUUUGUGGCAGGUUUUCUUGCUACACAAGUGGCGUUGACCUGGUGGCCUUGGAAGAGCACCCAAAAAAGAUAGGCAUCCUCCAACAGCUGAUGUUGAACAUUAACGCCGAGGGCUUCGAAUUCUCACGGUAUCUGCUUCAAUUUCGAGGAAUGCAUGACUUGGCCGCAGAGCAGGAGCACACCUUCCCUUAUGUAAGCUUCAGCAGGAAGCCCUCACAGAUGUGUUACAUUCUCAGUACGCCACACAGGGCGACAGUGCUGACAGCGGUUGCGGUUGGUUCGGUCGAUCAAGCAGUUCCUCUGGCGGGAACAAGAAUACAUGGCGUUGUUCUGCUGGCUGCGGCGGAAGAAACCCUAAAGAGCCUUCACAGGUGAUGACACCAUAGUGGAUCCCCGAGGACUUGUCCCCACAGAUUUUACAGGGGAUGACCUCGAUCUGAGCUGCAGGACCAAAAGCAAGAUUGAUCAGGUCAGAAGAAAACUUAGGAAGAAAACUUCAGUCAAGUGGUGUUAUCAUAUACUGUACUCCAAGGAUAUUUAACAAACAGUUUUAGGGGCCACAC